rnacentral:rRNA from 1 species
UUUAAAGUCUGGCCUGCCCAAUGAGGAGUUAAAUGGCCGCGGUAAUUUGACCGUGCAAAGGUAGCAUAAUCAUUAGUUUUUUAAUUGAAAGCUGGUAUGAAUGGUCGGACGAGAGAACAACUGUCUCAAUUUAAUUGUAGUAGAAUUUUAUUUUUAAGUUAAAAAGCUUAAAUAAUUUUAAAAGACGAGAAGACCCUAUAGAGUUUUAUAUAUAUAGGUAUAACUAUACAUUGGGAUAUAUUAGUAGGAAUAGUUAUCUGUAUUUUGUUGGGGUGACAAAAAAAUUAAACUAACUUUUUUUAUAUGUUUACAUUAAUUUAUGAGUGCAUGAUCCGUUAUUAACGAUUAUAAGAUCAAAUUACCUUAGGGAUAACAGCGUAAUUUUUUUUGAGAGUUCUAAUCGAAAAAAGAGUUUGCGACCUCGAUGUUGGAUUAAAAUUAAUUUUUGGUGUAGAAGCUAGAAUAUUAGGUCUGUUCGACCUUUAAAAUUUUACAUGAUCUGAGUUUAAACCGGUGUGAGCCAGGUUGGUUUCUAUCUUUAAAAAAAUUAAUUACCUUAGUACGAAAGGACCAGGUAGUUAUAAUAGUUAUUUGUUAUUGAAUAUUAUUAAUA